rnacentral:rRNA from 1 species
UUCUGUUUACUUGAAGUUAAUUUUUUGGUGAAAAAGCUAAAGUUUUCUUAGAGGACGAUAAGACCCUAUAGAUCUUUAUAAGAUUAUCUUAGUUUCUUAGAUGUUAUCAAACUAAUAAACCUCUUAUUUCGUUGGGGCGACGUUGAGGGUUGAUUAAUCUCUCAAAAUGACUUUACAUCUAUAAAUGAAUUUUGAUCCUUUGGUGAAUUAGGAUAAAGUUACCUUAGGGAUAACAGCGUAAUUUUUCUUGAGAGUUCUUAUCG